UCACAUUACUUUAACACCUCAGUGUAUUUAAAGGGGUCAUAUUCUGCGUUUUCACUUUUGCAGCUCUAGGUUUUCGUCAGUCGAGAGGGAGCUGCUGUUGUAGUGGAGUAUUGUUGUCAUUGCCCCCCCCCAAACAAAAGAAAGGAAAACUGCUCUUGACUGAAUCACUUAUUAACUUAAAUAAGAAUCUUCUAUAUUUAAUUUAUAGAGUGAAGAUUAUUUUUACAUUUAUUACUUCAUAAAAUGUCUGUAGUAGGCUAUUUUUAGAAGCCUUUACUUGGCUACUAUCUGAAAAGAAAACUAUUUAAUUUGUAUUUGUGAGUAAUAUAUUCAUAUAUCAUUUAGCUUGUAAGUAAUACUUAGUGUUUAAUUGCCUUCAGUAAGCCUGACAGUGUUUUAUUACUAUUUUUUGCUUUUGUGUUAGUGGCAGUUUCUUACUUCAAAAAAAUUAAUAAAAAUUAUUUGGAGGCGGGUGCUUUAUAGAGACCAGAAGAAAUCUGAGGGUUUGGCAGAGCUCAGGAGAUUGGUCCUGCAAUAAUGUAAAUUAUUAGUAGUGUUAUAUAAAAAAAUUAUAGUCUUAUAUAUAGUCGUGUUUUUUUUUUACAAUUAAACAUGAAAACCUAUUCUAGAACCAAAACAAUAUUCUAGAACCUCCAAAAACAAUAUAAAGACUUCACAAAAGGACAUAAUAUGACCCCUCUCAACUGCUAAUGGUCAUUAACCAGUUUCCUUUGUCAUUUUAAGCUUUCCACUUAUUUUUCUCUCUUAUGUUUUGAAGGUAUUCGAGUCAUCUGAUGCACCCUGUGCUAUGUGUACCUCUGUAAAGGCAUCACCACCCUCUCGCCCUUCUCCACUCCCCUCAUCAUCAUCAUCAUCAGCUGCCCCUGUGAUGGGCACAUCAUCUUCAUCCUCCCCAUCAUCACCUGCCCCUUUGCCCUGUGAUGCAUCCACUUCUGUGAUCUCUCCAUCACAGGUGUCCCAGACACUCUCAAUAAGGGAGGUUCAUCAAUCCCUUCAAAAAGAAAAUGGGAGGACUCUGAGGUAAAAGCAGUUGAAAAACAUAUGAUGAAGUUCAUAAAGACCUGCAGAGUUCCUGGUAAGCAAGACUGUGAGAGAUGCAUUAAAGCAGAGUCAGAAGCCUUAAAGGAACGAACAUGGACUGGUGUGAAAAAUUAUGUGCGGAACAGGAUCACAACUUGAGGUGGAUUUUAGAGGCUACAUUGCCUUUUACUGUAAAGUGAAGAACAUGGUGAGGAAAAUGUUAAAAGCAUCAAUGCCAUUUACACCAUAUCAAACUUUAAUAACUUCUGUAAGGCCCUGUUAUACCCCGUUUUAACACUUUCCACAUCAUGCUCAUCAUUUUAAAGAAAUUAGAUAAAAGUUUAAGUAGAAAGAUGUAUAAAGAGGGAGAAUUUGUUUGAGGACAGAAGGAAACACAAUGUUAACGAAGUAAACUAGACAGGAGAAGAGAGCGGAGUAAACGUAAUAUUGAAGUGAUGGAUUAUGAGAAAGGACGAAGAGUCUAGAAAAAGACACUGCACUGACAAACUUUUCAUUGUUUGUAUUGUUCAAUUCAUUUUAGCAUGUUGCCUUCCCUAUUUCAGAUGUGCACUUUCACAAUGUGUGAAUAUUGUUUAUUUGAAAGUGAAAGUGAUGUGACAUACAGCCAAGUAUGGUGACCCAUACUCAGAAUUCGUGCUCUGUAUUUAACCCAUCUAAAGUGCACACACACACCGUGAACACACACCCGGAGCAGUGGGCAGCCAUUUAUGCUGCGGCGCCCGGGGAGCAGUUGGGGGUUCAGUGCCUUGCUCAAGGACACCUCAGUCGUGGUAUUGCCAGCCCGAGACUCGAACCACCAACCUUAGGGUUAGGAGUCAAACUCUCUAACCACUAGGCCAUGACUUCCCCUAUUUGUUCAGUAAUCACAACUGUUUAAUAUAGUUAGAAGAUCACAUGGAUCAGCAGAAGUAAAGGGAUGAAAGAGGGAGGAGUGUAGGUAAAGGUGAAGAAAAGGAGGAGCCAAGGUAAAGCAACUAUAGUAGCCUUCUAGCUGUGUUUCUGCAUGCAGAUCAGUACAAUGAACACCAAAGUGAGUACGUAGAACUAAAUGUAUCAAAACACAAUACAAUACACUUCAUGGUUAUUGUGGAGAGUCACGGCCAGUGAGAAUGAAGUGUUGUCAUGAAGCCAGGCACAGCUGAUUUGAGGGCAGCAUCAGCGUCUGAUCUGGGUAGUUGGUCUCGUCUUGCUCUUGCUGUAGUUUGAUGGCACAUGUGAUCACAAGACGGCUGCAACUCCAAUCAAAGUCAAAGUCCAAUCAAAAUGUUCUAACCUAAAAGCGUUUGUUAGGAGGCAGUCGGUCUGCCCGACUACAUAUUAAGCCAAACACAAGGAUAAGAAUAGAGGAGGGGCAAAGGUAAAGAGGAAGAAAAGAUGGAGGAGUGAAGGUUAAGGGAUGGAAAAGAGGGGAAAGUGUGUGAGAAUUGAUGGAUAGAGGUAUUGGGAAGGAUUGUUGGGCAUCAUUUCCAAGUUCCUUGGUAUGUUUGGCUUAACCCUCUGGAGUCUAAGGGUAUUUUUGGGGCCUGGAGAAGUUUUGUCAUGCCCUGACAUUUGUGCUUUUUUCAGUUUCUUAUAAAUAUCUAAAUGGCUAAAGUCCAAUCUCACUGUAAUCAGCACAAACUGGGCUAUAAUAAUAUGUGAGCAGCAUGUAUGUACAUGAUUGUGUUUUUGAGAAAAAAAAUGUUAUGCGUGGUUAGUGAAAAACUAAAAAUGUUAAAUCACUUGAAUAAGGCAAUAAAACACAUACAGAACAUUGGUUCCCGGGACUUUUGAGAACUGGAGCUUGUAGCCUAGAAUUUUUCUUUCUAAAUGAUGUGAAAAUCAUCUUGUUUACUCACUUACAGAAAACAAUAUAUUGAUUUAAAUUUUCUAAGACACUUUUUGUUGGUAAAAGUCAUAUGCGAGUAGGCGUCAACUAUCAUGAAUUCACACCUGAGAAGACAAAGGCCUGCAUAAUGAGCUGCAUAAUGAGCCAUUCAGUCAGCUCUGUCACUGAGAGGGAUGAGUUACAAGAAAGAAUGUGAGGACAAAAUAAAUCUAUAUAAUUUUAUGUUUGUAGUUUAUUUAGAAUAUAUUUAAUUAUCCCACAACAUAAUUUAAU
rnacentral:lncRNA from 1 species